CAGGGACUGCCUGCAGAUCCAUGCCAAUUGCUGUGAUCAGCCAGGCUGUCCAGUAGAGAGGCUGUGACUUCCCCAAGCACACCAAACUCUAACUCUCUGGGUCCUGUCAUUUGGGCUGAUGAGAAGGCAGCUUCUGAGAAAAGACAUGAUUCAUCCAAAGUAACACAGAGGUUGGUGUGAGAGCCAGCUGUCAACCCUAGUAUUGAUGGGGGACAUCUGGCUGAUUGGCCAACAGCAGGUAGAGGAAGAAGGAAAGUCCAGUGAAGAUAGCAUGUGUCUUCACUGCAGAGAGCACCCACAUUUUGACAUUGCAUGCAAGCAAGGAUAAUACCGUGACCAUUUCUGAAAGGGCAGAACUGGACUUUUAUAUAACAUUAUUCAGGUUAAUGACACCUUGGUACACAUCUGUCAAAUAACAAAUAAAAUGUAUUGACUCUCAGUCUUCAAUAACACUUCUAAGACUUAUUAAUACUUCUGGAUUGAAGAUAUGUAAACAAAAUCAAUAUUUAUUGAAAAAUGUUCAACAUUUGAGAAAUUAGAUGAACCUUGUUCAUUGAUCCUGUAAAGUGUCAAAUGUUUGACUGAUUUGUUGACUCACAUGCUUGUGAAAUUCUUUCGGAUGGAUAUUGCUUCGAAAUACAAUGUUUGUAGCACA